CAGUAUCUGGUAAAGAAACCCCGGCUAACUCCGUGCCAGCAGCCGCGGUAAUACGGAGGGGGUUAGCGUUGUUCGGAAUUACUGGGCGUAAAGCGUACGUAGGCGGAUCAGAAAGUUAGGGGUGAAAUCCCAGGGCUCAACCCUGGAACUGCCUUUAAAACUCCUGGUCUUGAGUUCGAGAGAGGUGAGUGGAAUUCCAAGUGUAGAGGUGAAAUUCGUAGAUAUUUGGAGGAACACCAGUGGCGAAGGCGGCUCACUGGCUCGAUACUGACGCUGAGGUACGAAAGUGUGGGGAGCAAACAGGAUUAGAUACCCUGGUAGUCCACACCGUAAACGAUGAAUGCCAGUCGUCGGGCAGUAUACUGUUCGGUGACACACCUAACGGAUUAAGCAUUCCGCCU
rnacentral:rRNA from 1 species